rnacentral:pre_miRNA from 1 species
UUGUGACCGUUAUAAUGGGCAUUUAGAAUUGAAGUGCUCCUUAUUACGAUCAGAAGG